CAUUGCACACAUAUAUAUGUAUAUAAAUGCGUGUGUAUGUGUGUGUGUGUAUAUAUAU
rnacentral:miRNA from 1 species